UGCAGUCGACGAUGAAGCCCAGCUUGCUGGGUGGAUUAGUGGCGAACGGGUGAGUAACACGUGAGUAACCUGCCCUUGACUCUGGGAUAAGCGUUGGAAACGACGUCUAAUACCGGAUACGAGCUUCCACCGCAUGGUGAGUUGCUGGAAAGAAUUUUGGUCAAGGAUGGACUCGCGGCCUAUCAGCUUGUUGGUGAGGUAAUGGCUCACCAAGGCGACGACGGGUAGCCGGCCUGAGAGGGUGACCGGCCACACUGGGACUGAGACACGGCCCAGACUCCUACGGGAGGCAGCAGUGGGGAAUAUUGCACAAUGGGCGAAAGCCUGAUGCAGCAACGCCGCGUGAGGGACGACGGCCUUCGGGUUGUAAACCUCUUUUAGCAGGGAAGAAGCGAAAGUGACGGUACCUGCAGAAAAAGCACCGGCUAACUACGUGCCAGCAGCCGCGGUAAUACGUAGGGUGCAAGCGUUGUCCGGAAUUAUUGGGCGUAAAGAGCUCGUAGGCGGUUUGUCGCGUCUGCUGUGAAAUCCCGAGGCUCAACCUCGGGUCUGCAGUGGGUACGGGCAGACUAGAGUGCGGUAGGGGAGAUUGGAAUUCCUGGUGUAGCGGUGGAAUGCGCAGAUAUCAGGAGGAACACCGAUGGCGAAGGCAGAUCUCUGGGCCGCUACUGACGCUGAGGAGCGAAAGGGUGGGGAGCAAACAGGCUUAGAUACCCUGGUAGUCCACCCCGUAAACGUUGGGCGCUAGAUGUGGGGACCAUUCCACGGUUUCCGUGUCGUAGCUAACGCAUUAAGCGCCCCGCCUGGGGAGUACGGCCGCAAGGCUAAAACUCAAAGGAAUUGACGGGGGCCCGCACAAGCGGCGGAGCAUGCGGAUUAAUUCGAUGCAACGCGAAGAACCUUACCAAGGCUUGACAUAUACGAGAACGGGCCAGAAAUGGUCAACUCUUUGGACACUYGUAAACAGGUGGUGCAUGGUUGUCGUCAGCUCGUGUCGUGAGAUGUUGGGUUAAGUCCCGCAACGAGCGCAACCCUCGUUCUAUGUUGCCAGCACGUAAUGGUGGGAACUCAUGGGAUACUGCCGGGGUCAACUCGGAGGAAGGUGGGGACGACGUCAAAUCAUCAUGCCCCUUAUGUCUUGGGCUUCACGCAUGCUACAAUGGCCAGUACAAAGGGCUGCAAUACCGUAAGGUGGAGCGAAUCCCAAAAAGCUGGUCCCAGUUCGGAUUGAGGUCUGCAACUCGACCUCAUGAAGUCGGAGUCGCUAGUAAUCGCAGAUCAGCAACGCUGCGGUGAAUACGUUCCCGGGCCUUGUACACACCGCCCGUCAAGUCAUGAAAGUCGGUAACACCCGAAGCCAGUGGCCUAACCGCAAGGAUGGAGCUUCUAAG
rnacentral:rRNA from 1 species